rnacentral:rRNA from 1 species
CGUAAAGCGCAUGCAGGUGGUUUGUUAAGUCAGAUGUGAAAGACCCGGGGCGUCAACCUCGGAAUUGCAUUUGAAACUAGGCAAACUAGAGUACUGUAGAGGGGGGUAGGAAUUUCAGGUGUAGCGGUGAAAUAGCGUAGAGAUCUGAAGGAAUACCGGUGGCGAAGGCGGCCCCCUCGGACAGAUACUGACACUCAGAUGCGAAAGCGUGGGGAGCAAACAGGAUUAGAUACCCUGGUAG